GGUGAACGCUGGCGGCGUGCCUAAUACAUGCAAGUCGAGCGAACGGACGAGAAGCUUGCUUCUCUGAUGUUAGCGGCGGACGGGUGAGUAACACGUGGAUAACCUACCUAUAAGACUGGGAUAACUUCGGGAAACCGUAGCUAAUACCGGAUAAUAUUUUGAACCGCAUGGUUCAAAAGUGAAAGACGGUCUUGCUGUCACUUAUAGAUGGAUCCGCGCUGCAUUAGCUAGUUGGUAAGGUAACGGCUUACCAAGGCAACGAUGCAUAGCCGACCUGAGAGGGUGAUCGGCCACACGGGAACUGAGACACGGUCCAGACUCCUACGGGAGGCAGCAGUAGGGAAUCUUCCGCAAUGGGCGAAAGCCUGACGGAGCAACGCCGCGUGAGUGAUGAAGGUCUUCGGAUCGUAAAACUCUGUUAUUAGGGAAGAACAUAUGUGUAAGUAACUGUGCACAUCUUGACGGUACCUAAUCAGAAAGCCACGGCUAACUACGUG
rnacentral:rRNA from 1 species